rnacentral:rRNA from 1 species
UAGAGUUUGAUCCUGGCUCAGGACGAACGCUGGCGGCGUGCCUAACACAUGCAAGUCGAACGGAGAGUUAGCAAUAACUCUUAGUGGCGAACGGGUGAGUAACGCGUAGACAACCUGCCUCUAAACUGGGGACAACACCGCGAAAGUGGUGCUAAUACCGAAUGUGGUAACUUGGCUGCAUGGCUGAGUUAAGAAAGAUGGCCUCUACAUGUAAGCUAUCGUUUAGAGAUGGGUCUGCGUCUGAUUAGCUAGUUGGUGAGGUAAAGGCUCACCAAGGCGACGAUCAGUAGCCGGUCUGAGAGGAUGAACGGCCACACUGGGACUGAGACACGGCCCAGACUCCUACGGGAGGCAGCAGUGGGGAAUCUUCCGCAAUGGACGAAAGUCUGACGGAGCAACGCCGCGUGAGUGAAGAAGGUCUUCGGAUUGUAAAGCUCUGUCGUUUGGGACGAACGUGGAUUGUGUGAAUAAUGCAGUCUAAUGACGGUACCAAAGGAGGAAGCCACGGCUAACUACGUGCCAGCAGCCGCGGUAAUA